UAGAAAGGAAUGAAUAGUGGAGGGGUUUGAAUGCAAAUUGAAGGAGUCUUCAAGGGCCAUUUUGCAAGCCAAAUAAUAAGAUAAACAAGCUGAUUGGAUCAGCAUGUGGAACAGUUUUGGGCUGCCCAAUGCCCAGUUGGAUCGGUUUUCUCGAUUCAGCUUAACUAGGCCCCUUUUCAUAAUUAAUUAACAAUAAUUUAUUUAACCCAAAUUAAAUUGGAUUAAAAUUAAAAUUAAUUAUAUUAUGAAUUGAUACACAUAAUUUGGACCAUCUUAG
rnacentral:lncRNA from 1 species